rnacentral:rRNA from 1 species
UACGGAGGGUGCAAGCGUUAAUCGGAAUUACUGGGCGUAAAGCGCACGCAGGCGGUCUGUCAAGUCGGAUGUGAAAUCCCCGGGCUCAACCUGGGAACUGCAUUCGAAACUGGCAGGCUAGAGUCUUGUAGAGGGGGGUAGAAUUCCAGGUGUAGCGGUGAAAUGCGUAGAGAUCUGGAGGAAUACCGGUGGCGAAGGCGGCCCCCUAGACAAAGACUGACGCUCAGGUGCGAAAGCGUGGGGAGCAAACAGG